GAAGCAGCCAUCGACCGAGCAGAAGCAGAUGCCUCUUCUCCGCUAGCACCUCUGCCCGCUCCCUCGGCCGCCUCUUCCCAUGCCUUUGUCCUCCCUGGCCGCCUCCACCUACGUCGCCCUGACCGUCUCCACUAGCAUCUGAGUUCCACCGUGGCCUUCCUCGGGCUGCCUUGCGCCGCCCUAGCCAUUUCCACACGGCAAUGGGACCGGCUCCCAGUCGGCCCUCGAGAAGACGACACAUGCGGGUCUCUUCGUGGUGGCGGCGGCCACCUCAAGCGGUCACAGCGGCGGCAGGAUUCCUCAUCUGCCACCUCAAGUGCUCCAUGCGCAGGGCAACGAGUACAUCCUAAAGGGCUCCGAGCUCCUUGACAUCUCGCCGCCGCCAGAUCGGCAGGAGAAUGGCGCUAGCAACCCAAAGGUGGAGGGCCUGAAGCACCACGGCGCCUCCCUCUCCACCCAUAGCAUCCCUCCCCUGCCGACGCUUCCAUCUCCCCGUUAGGCCGGCACCGCGCGUCCCCUCUCCUGUCCUCAUCGAGUGCCUCUGUCUCCUUUUUUUGUAUCCUUGUGAUCUAAAUGUUGAUUUACUUUGCAAUUUAAUUAGCUUAGCUUAGCUGAGGUACAAAGGCUAAGGAGGUUUACUUAGUUGAAUUUUUUUCUGAUCUGGCCAUCGUGGAACCUAUGGGCUUUGGCGCGGAGGCUCCAGGGUCUGUCUAACCCAGCCCACUCAUGCACAAAGUAAUUUUUGUGUCCCAGCUGUCAUACAUUUUGUGAUAUGCAGUAACAAAACUUCCAUGGUGAGCUCUUCCCUUUUCCUUGUUUAGUGUCAAAAUAACCUGUUCUAACUUUUUGAGUUAAUAAACUACAAAUGUCAGGGAAUGCAAAAAUAGGAGCAAUUAGUAUUCUUGGUGCCAUCUACAAUCCACUAUUUUUCUUAUGUAUUAGAGCCUUCUAAGUCUGCUACUGCAUAGCCCACUGUGUAGAUUUAGUUAUAGCUAUGAGAUGUAAGAGCAUCUCCAACAGUUAUGCAAUUGGAAUUUGCCAUUUGUUGGAGUUUGCUAAGUCCAUAAAUGUUUUGCUAAAGGAAAAAUAAGUUCAUCUCCAAGUGUUUGGCAUUUUUGACUUGGCAUUUUCCAAAAUAGUGGACCCAACUAUUUUUGUCCGGGAAUCAUUCAUCUUCGCGGGAAAUUCUCUCGCGCGUCGUGCGGGCGCUUUCUUUUUCACGCGCAAUUCCUUCGCCCGUCGCACGCAAUUUCUUCGCCCGUCGCCGCCAAUUCUCUCGCGCAUCGCGCGGCCGUGUUCAUCCCGCAAGUCCACGUCGGCGCGAAGAAAGGAGGCGGUGCGCGGGGGAAAGAAAAAAGUUGCGCGCGGGGAGGAGUCGUCUCGCGGGAAUCUACCGCGACGUGGGAAGUACGGGCACAACAAGGAGUCCAAGAUUCUCGGGAUAUCAAAAUUGCCAAGCCAUUGUGCCUAUGCAAAAAUGCCAAGUUUGGUCCAUCAAAUGCCAAGUUUGCCAAAAUGCAUAAGUCAAAUGCAAAACUGUUGGAGAGCAAUUUUUAAGUUGCUACUAUAUGCCCUUACCUUCUUGAUGUUAUAGAUUGAGGGAGGCCUUAUCACCUAGAAGCAAACAUAUGACAGAUUUGGGUAUUUAAUCUUUCCAUUGAUCUACAACCUUUUUUGUAUCCUUUUGUUCUGAAUAUUGAUUUACUUUGCAAUUUAAUUAGCUUAGCUUAGCCGAGCUACAAAGGCUAAGGAGGUUUACUUAGCUGAAUUCUUCUCUGAUCUGGCCAGCGUGGAACCUCUAGGCUUUGGCGCGGAGGCUCCAGGGUCUAUCUAACCCAGCCCACUCGUGCACAAAGUAAUUAACAUGUUGAUCAGUGUUAGCUCCAUGUCUUAAUCCUAUAGAACAACUAGACCUACAUCAUGUGGGGUAAAGAACAUACUGUAUUGGUUAUAUAAAUUGUGGUGUAUUGUAUGCAAAUCAUUUUGCUUGUCUAUUUUUCAGCUGGCUAUUUUCUAGGAUACACAAAUAUAGAUACAUGUGUAUUCAUUUUCUUGCUAAUUUUUUUCUAUGCCAUCUUGAUGUUACAGGUUGAGGGAGGCCUUGGAGAGGAAGCAAACAUAUGACCUUUUGCUUUUGAUAAGAUGGAGAUGAGGCAUUUUCUAGUGAAGCUAGUUAGAUUGUGCAAGCAAACAUAUUGUAUGUGUGUUGUUCCUUGUUUAAUGGUGAAUUGUCAUGAAUUGUGCAAGCAGACUUGGUAAUGUUGGCUUCAAUGAAAACUUGAGAUAACUUAUCUUAUA